UUUAUUGGAGAGUUUGAUCCUGGCUCAGGAUGAACGCUGGCGGCGUGCCUAAUACAUGCAAGUCGAGCGGAUGGAUUAAGAGCUUGCUCUUAUGAAGUUAGCGGCGGACGGGUGAGUAACACGUGGGUAACCUGCCCAUAAGACUGGGAUAACUCCGGGAAACCGGGGCUAAUACCGGAUAAUAUUUUGAACUGCAUGGUUCGAAAUUGAAAGGCGGCUUCGGCUGUCACUUAUGGAUGGACCCGCGUCGCAUUAGCUAGUU
rnacentral:rRNA from 1 species